AAGGGCUGGGAUCACAGGCGUGCACCACUGAGCACAUUUCCAGGUGCUCGGCGUAGACUUAAGGCUUCAUGCUUGCUGGGCAGACACCAUUGCGUUUUGACUAAUAGUACUUUUCUUUCCUGUGAACAGAGAAGCUUAAUAUUAAGUUUGUGCCCCCUGAGGCUAGAACUGGACUGCUGUCUUUCGAGGAGAGCCAGAGAAUUAAGAGACUCCAUGAAGAAAACAGACAGUUCCUGUGUAUACCAAGGAGACCAAAUUGGGACAGAAAAACUAGCCCUGAAGAACUGAAACAAGCAGAGAAAGAUAACUUUCUAAAAUGGAGGCGCCAGCUUGUCCGG
rnacentral:sRNA from 1 species